rnacentral:lncRNA from 1 species
CACUGAUCGUUUUAUAUACAGUCGCUGAUCGCCUUUAUAUACAGUCACUGAUCGCUUCAUAUACAGUCACUGAUCGCCUUUAUAUACAGUCAGUGAUCGUCUUUAUAUACAGUCAGUGAUCGUCUUUAUAUACAGUCACUGAUCAUCUUUAUAUACAGUCACUGAUCGUCUUUAUAUACAGUCAGUGAUCGCUUUAUAUACAGUCAGUGAUCGUCUUUAUAUACAGUCGCUGAUCGUUUUAUAUACAGUCGCUGAUCGUCUUUAUAUACAGUCAGUGAUCGUCUUUAUAUACAGUCGCUGAUCGUCUUUAUAUACAGUCGCUGAUCGUCUUUCAUAUACAGUCAGUGAUCGCUUUAUAUACAGUCAGUGAUCGCUUUAUAUACAGUCAGUGAUCGUCUUUAUAUACAGUCGUGAUCGUCUUUAUAUACAGUCAGUGAUCGUCUUUAUAUACAGUCAGUGAUCGUCUUUUUAUACAGUCAGUGAUCGACUUUAUAUACAGUCAGUGAUUGUCUUUUUAUACAGUCAGUGAUCGACUUUAUAUACAGUCAGUGAUUGUCUUUUUAUACAGUCAGUGAUCGUCUUUAUAUACAGUCAGUGAUUGUCUUUUUAUACAGUCAGUGAUCGUCUUUAUAUACAUUCAGUGAUCGUCAUUAUAUACAGUCUCUUGAUCAUCAUUAUAUACAGUCAGUGAUCGUCUUUAUAUACAAUCAGUGAUCGUCUUUAUAUACAGACACUGAUCGUCUUCAUAUACAGUCAGUGAUCGUCUUUAUAUACAGUCACUGAUCGUCUUCAUAUACAGACACUGAUCGUCUUCAUAUACAGUCGGCGGUCGUCUUUAUAUACAGUCAGACAAGGGGUGUUAUAGUCCCCGCCCCGCACGUUUUAUUUUGAAAGGCUCAGACCGGAAGUGGACUCAGGUGUUUGCAGCUCUUCGUUUUUGUUUCGAGUCAGUUUUUCAGUUUUGCUGUGAAACAGUGGAACUGAUCAGUUCAACUCUUCACUUGUUCACUUGUUCUCUGGAUUAACGACCUGCUCCUCAGCUCACAGAAGAAUCCAGGUCGGUGUGGAAUCAUCAGUGGAUUCCUCACAAGCUGAUCUGGAGGUCAGAUCUGAUCUGUGGAAGUUCCCUCCAACUCCGUCACGUCGAGCUGAGGAACCAAAUCGACUCAUAACUUCAUCUGGCGUCUGCAGGAAAAUCCCCGAGGGAGGAAGAAGAAGACCAGGCUCCUGCUGCCGAGAGCUGAGCCCUCGUCUGCAUCACUGUCCUCUUCCUCGCCGUGAGUCAUGGCCGGAGCUCUGAGGUGCGUUUCAUUUGUGUGAUGAAGGAGGAGGAGGAGGAGGAGGAGGAGCCGUCCAACCCAUGUGGAUUGAACCUGUCUCAGGUUAAAGUUCAGAGUUUGAAAGGUGCAUGAAGAAGAAGAAGAGGACAUGUGAGCCAUGACACCACGAGAGGCCGCGACGUGAUUGGUUGAACAGCAGAUUCAUAUUUCAGAGGCAGAUAUAUAAAUGUGGAGGGAAAGUGAGAGAAGAGAGGAACGACUGUACGUUAUGAAGACGAAGUGAUGAAACUAAUAUAUUCUUCAUUUUAAAACGUAAUAAAAAAAUGUCAGUUGAUGUUCACUUUAGUCUGACCCCUGACCCCUGACCCCUAACCCUGCUGAAGUGAAACACAGCAUUGAGAUUAGUGUAAGAUUAAGAAUUAAAGGGGCAGUGAGCGAUUCUGGAGAAAGCUUGU